rnacentral:lncRNA from 1 species
UCAUCUGAAAUUCUGACUCCUUUUUCUUUUUAAUAAGUGAAAAUAUUCCAUGACAUUCUGCCUUUGACCCUCUGUCUUCUCAUUUUCAUGUAUUCUUUGUAAUCAUAUCCUUUUUCAGGAUUUCAUUAACAGCCUUUGGGAAUGAACACUGUUUUUAGGGUUUUAGAUGUCAGCUUUCUCCAGAUGACCAAUUCUUUAUUUCUCAGUGCUUGCUAAAUAAUCAUCUUCUGUCGUACACACCUUCUCCAUUGUCUCCUUUUCUUUAAGAGGUUAUCAUCCCUCUAGUUACUCAGACUUAGAUGUUGUAUUUGAUUCCUCUCACAGUUGUGACUCACAUCCAAGUAGAUAAGUUCUGUCAAUUCUAUAAAUAUAAUCUCUGACAUAUGGCCACUCUUUCUAAUAUUAUUUUCUCUACGACAGUGCAGGUUUUCAGUUCCUCACACUUGGACUAUUGUAAUUGCUUCCUAACUGAUUCCUCUACCUGAAGACUGUCUCCCUUCUGGUUCAUUUUACACAGUACUAUCAGACACAUUUUAGGAAACAAAACUAUGAUUAUGUGUCUCUCAUAAAGACCCUUUAUACUACGAAAGCACAAACUGUUUAACCCAAAACUUUUCACUCUUAAUUUUGAUUAUAACUCACUCAAGCCAGGAAUGAGUAAUACUGUGGCUUCAGGACCUCAAGUUCCUGGGAAAUGAAAGGAAGCUGAGACACAUUUGAAAGGAGAUAGGAAAAUUGGUCAAGUUGUAUGUGCAAUUGGCCUCCUAGGAAUAUAUGAGGCCAAAGGGGUUUCUGAAAGGCCAUAACAAAUUUGGGCUUGAUGGUUACUGGCAGUCCAUUUCAGCAGUUUGUAUUAAUUAGUGUUCCCUAGAGAAAUAGAACCAGCCAGGGCAUAGUGUCUCAUGCCUGUGAUUCCAGCACUUUGGGAGGCUGAGGUGGGAGGAUUGUUUGCAUCCAGGAGUUCCAGACCAGCUUGGGCAACAUAGUGCGACCCCAUCUCUACAAAAAAUAAAAAAUUAGCCAGGUGUGGUGGCACAUGUUUUCCUUGCUACUCAGGAAGCUGAGGCAGGAGGAUCACUGGAGCCUGGGAGGUUGAUUGAGGCUUCAGUGAGCCAUGAUUGCACCACUGCACUCAGUGUGGGCAACAGAGCAAGGCCCUGUCUCCAAAAGAAAAAAAGAAAGAAACAAAGCCAAUAGUGUAUGUGCAUAUGUAUAAAUAUAUGUGAAAUAUAUAUAUUUAUACAUAUAUAUAUUUAUUUUGAGACAGAGUCUUGCUCUGUCACCAGGCUGAAGUACAGUGGCACAAUCUCUGCUCACUGCAACCUCCACCUCCCCCGGUUCAAGUGAUUCUUGUGCCUCAGCCUUCUGAGUAGCUGGGACUCUAGGCACCCGCCACCACACCUGGCUAAUUUUUGUUUUUUUUUUAAGGUGGAGACAGGGUUUUUUCAUGUUGGCCAGGCUGGUCUCAAACUCCUGGCCUCAAAUGAUCCACCUGUCCUGGUCUCCCAAAGUGUAAAAUGUAUAUUUUAUGAGGAAUUUGCUCACAGGAUUAUGGAGGCUGCGAAGUCCUGUGAUUUGCUGAUCUGCCACCUGCAAGCUGGAGACCUGGUGUAGUUCCAGCCUGAGUCCAAAGACUUGAGAACAGGAGAGGUGAUGAUCUCUUGGGUUGAUAGCUUAUGGCAGUGAUAGUCAAGUGUAUCACGCCGUGAAGUCAACUGUUUGAAAAAACACUGUGAAGUGGUUCGAUAUGGAUAUGAUGUCAUAAUCUUCUUUUUGAAGAUAAAGAAACUAAGACUAUAUCAUAAUGUUCUUCUUGAAGAUGAAGAAAUGAAGACUCUGUGAGAUAUAGCGAUUUGUUUUUGGUGGGGGCUUGGAGGAGGAGAGGCAGAGUUGUCUCUACUGUACUAGUGCUUUGGGAGGUCAUUCUUGCUUAGGAAUGUCUCCACUUCCUUUCCCCUCACCCCUAGCACAGCCUGAGUUUGGAGGGAGGGUAGAAGCAGGACUAUAAGUAAAAAUAAUAACUUAUUUACUUAUCAAUCAUCUAUCUGUGUGUGUAUGUGUAUAUGUAUAUAUGUGUGUGUAUGUGUGUGCGUGUGUAAAUAGCAGGCAUACCUAACUUUUCAGUAAAAUUCUGUUGAGAAGAGGAAUAGGUAAAUGAUGCUAAGGGUAAACACAGAGUCAAGAGAGAAGGUUUAGGAAAAUGAUAGUGUGUGAGCUAGUUAUUGAUAUCUCUGAAGAAAAGACCAUGAAUACUGUAGUGCAUUCUAGGAGAGCAAUAGUAUUAUGUUAUCUUAUAUCCUGUAAGAAAGAGCAUCCUAUGGAAAAGAUAGAAUAAUGUAGUUACUUUUAUGCUCAGAAUAAUUCACAUGUUCUUAGGUGAAUUCUAGGUCCCAGAGAUAUUUCUGCUGAUUCUGUAAACCUACCGUUUUCUCUUUAAGCGGUUAAAAAAAUUUCUCCCUCUUAAUCCCCCACUUCUCAUUUAUGUCUUCUUUUUAUUUGUGCAAAUAUUAUUUGAAUCAUUAUUUCUACCCUUUUUCUUGUUUUAGGUUUGUUUUGCCCUUCUUUUACUAGGUUCUUGCAGCAGGAGCUUAAAUUACUGAUUUAAGAUUUUUUUCUCUGUUCUAAUGCAUGCUUUUGGUGUAUAAAAUUCCAUUUUCAGCACUAUUUUGACUCUGCCUUGCAAAUUUGAUAUGUUUUAUUUUCUGUUUUUAUUCAGUUCAAUGUAUUUUCAAGAUUUUCCUUAAGAAUGACUCCUUGAGCCAUGGAUUAUUUAUAAAUAUGUUGUUUCAUUUCUAAGUGUUUUGAGAUAUGCUAACAAGGAUAUUGGUCUUUUUAAAAUUGAUCUCUUGCAUGAUUUCAUUGUGGUUGGAAAAUGUACUAUGUAUGGUUUCAAUUCUAAAUUUUUUGAGGUUUGUUUUAUGGCUCUGGAUAUAAUCUAUCUUGGUAUAUGUUCUGUGAGCACUUAAAUAGAAUGUGUUUGCUGUUGUUGGGUGGGGUUUUCUGUAAAUGUUGAUUAGAUCCUUUUGGUUAAUGGUGUUGUUGAAUUCUUUCACAUUCUUGUUGUUUUUCUGUGUAGUUCCAACAAUUAUUGAGAAAAGAAUGUUGAAAUCUACAAUUAUAAUUCUAAAUUUUUCUAUUUGUCCUUUCAGUUCUAUCAAAUUUUAUUUUACAUAUUUUGCUGCUCUGUUUUUUGGUUCAUACAUUUUUAUGAUUGGUGUGUCUUCACAUGGAUUGAUCCUUUUAUCGUUGUACAAUGUGCCUCUCUGUCUCUGGUGAUUUUCUUUGCUCUAAAGUCUAUUUGAUAUUAAUAUAGCUAUUCCUGUUUUCUUUUGAUUAAUGUUAUAUGAUAGGUCUUUUUCUGUUCUUUCACUUUUAACUAACUUAUAUUAUUGUAUUUCAAGUGAGUUUUUAUAGACAACAUAUGAUUGGUGGUAUUUUUUAAUCUACUCUGUCAAUAUCUUUCAAUUAGGUAUUUAGAUUAUUUACAUUUAGAGUAAUUAUUGAUAUUAGGAUUCAAGUCUGCUAUUUUAAUGCCUUAAUUAAAGCAGCCUUCAGGUGCUCCAGGGGUCUAUUCAUCACUACUUACAGAUUUAUAGGACUGUUAUCUGUAUUAAGUUCUAUGUACAACUUGGAAAUAGUAAUUGGACAGAGGAAGAGGAUAAUAAUGUUAAACACUUUUAGAAUAAAUUGUCUGCCAUAUUAUUUAUGAAUUGGGUGACAACUUUGUCCCAAUAUAUUUAUGUUUUAAUAUUGUUAAAUAAUGUUUUACUUUGGCCUACACAGAUUUGGAAGAAAUGUCUCUUAAGAAGCUAAUUAAAUAAUUUAUUGUACUCACGUUUGUUGAACAUUUUCUAUGUGCAAACUAUUAUUCCAGUGAAGGGGAGUACAAUGAUGAACAAGAUUACUAAUAAAUGUAAAAAUGCAAAAACUAUAAAAAAUUAAUUUUGUUUUAUAUGCUUUAUACUAUAUUGCAUUUUAUAUUAGCUUCCUAGGGCUUCCAUAACAAAGUACAUGGACUGAGUGGCUUUAACAACAGAAAUUUAUUUUCUCACAGUUCUAGAGGAUAGAAGUCUGAAGUUAAAGUGUUAGCAGGUUUGGUUUUGUUCUAAGGCUUCUCUCCUUGGCUUUUAGAUAGUCUUUUCCCUGUAUUUUCACAUGAUCUUUCCUCUGCACAUAUGUGUGUCCUAGUUUCCUCCUCUUUUAAGGACAACAGUCAUAUUGGAUUAUGGCUUACCCUAAUAACCAUAUUUUAACUUACUUCUAUUUACUUAUCUUCAAAUAAAGUUACAUUCUGAGGUACUAGGAAUUAGGAUUUCAAUAUAAGAAUUUGAGAAAACACAAUUCAGCCCAUAAAAAUAUUUUUAUAUUUUAUUUAUAUAUUUUAUAUUAAUAUAAUAAAACACAUUUUAAUAUUUUAUAUACUAAAUACCCAUCUGUAAUACUUUGUAUAUGCUUAUAUGUAUGUAUGUGUGUGUAUGUUUCUAAUAUAUAAAGAAAAAUCAACAUACAUUGAAAUGACUGUACUAAUUAUUAAUUUGAGAGACCUAUAUUAAUGCCUAUAUUAUUUUUACCUGCAAACAAUCAAAUAUUUACCAGAAAAUUUGUUUUUUUAGUUUUCUAGCAAUCAGUGUCUGACCAGAUGAUAUUCUCUGAACAGAUAGUAUUAACUAGAUCUCCAAUGCAGGUAAAGUCUUAUUUUUUUGGGAAACUUAAUUUUACUUAAAAAGCACUCCCAACAUUGUAAAGUAUUUUGUUCAAAUUAUGUUUGCACAUUGUGUGUAAAAAUUAAUGUCUCAAUAUUUCUAUGGAUACUUAUACCCAUGAAAUGUUUUGUCCAUUGAAAAAAACCUAAAAAAAUCUCACUAUGUAAGAACUUAGAGGAAGGUACUUUUUCAAUCUGAUCAACUCACUAUUGAGUCUAGGAUAGCGCUUAAAAUUUUUGGAAAAAAUAUUGACUAAAUGACAUUGUAAACCUAUUAAAUCAAUUUCUUAGGGGUGGGUAUGUGCUGUAAAACAUCCUCCUCUAUACUGAUUGGUAUAUAUUUCCAUAGUUUCCUCAACGCAGCUUGCCAUGGGAUAAGCCGCAAUGAUAGGGUAAUAAAUAAGUGUGAGAUUUUAUGUGGCAAGUAUUUGGGUUAUAUUUUUCUAUUCUUUUUAACUGUGUCCUUCUACUAGAUUGAACUAUUUAAAAAUUGCUGCUUUUGUAGAUGAAAAAUUGAAUAAUGAUAAAUUUAUCAUAAUUCAAUCUAUAGAUACACAAAUAUCCUUCAUUUAUUUUUUCACCUUUGGUUUUGUGUACAAGACAAUAUAAAAGUGAUUCUUGUGUGCAAUAAUUUGUCUAAGAGAGAGCAUCAUUUGUCUUCAAACUCCCAUCGAACAUAAAUGUCCUGGAGUAAGAGACUCAUAGCCUUUGAGAGCUGGAAGAAACUAUGCUAAUCACCCAUUCCAGUUUUCUAAUUUUAAAUAAGGGAAACUAUGGGACAGUAUUUUCACUUUAGGACAUUUCAAAUCUAGAGAAGAUUAGCAUUUAAGGUAGAAAUUUCUCCUUUAGUUAUUAUCAGCAUAUUUAAAGUUGGGAUUAGAGUUGGGAUUAAAGUUCUUCUUUCCUGAUCUCCAGAAGGAAAAUUAAACCAUACAGUCAUUUUAAUUUGCAACUCUCACUUAUCUUACAGCCCAAAUCUAAGAUCACUACAGUGACCUAUCUAUCUUGACUCGAAUAUGUGAAAUUAUAGUUAAUGAAAAAAAAUUAAUUUUAAAGGUUGGUGAACUAAGUGUUUAUUUCUGUCAUUUUAGUCUGCAUUUCUAAGAUUCAGAUGUUCUGCCUACUUGCAAAAGGUUUCAUUGAGAAAGUAGUUAUCCAGCAUGUGUACAUGUGUGUGUAUAUAUACAUAGAUUCAAUACUUAUGUAUACACAUACACAAAAUACAUGUACACACAAUACAAAAUACAUAUAAAAUUUAUGUAUACACACAGGAAAAUUAGACUUUGUCAACAUCCAGAUUUUGUUUCUUUAAAGCAUUCUCUAAAAACAAUGUAAUACAAUAAAUUAUAUUUUUCCAAAGUAUUAUUAUUAUGUGGAAUGUUGGUUGAAAAAUAGACUACCUAUCAUUCAACACAAAUUGAGUCUUGGGUGGAAGUUAAAGUGAGGAAUAAAAAUCCUGCUUUGAUUUUAGCAACAUGCCUUAAUUUUCCAUAUGUGUUUUAUUUAUUCACCAAGUAUACUCUGAAGCCAUUCAGAUAUAAUAAUAAUACAGUGCUAAUGAUAUAAAGGAUUAUUUAGAUAUUUCAGAAACUGUGAGUUGUACUUAAAAUAUUUAUUAUUCAUUCCUUGAAAGGAUGAAACCAGGGUCUGUCUACACACUCUUUCUCAUACAUAGUUUAUGAAGCAGACGGAGCUGAGCAAGUUGACAUGAAAGACAUAGAACAUACUACUUAGAAGCCAAGAUGAAAUAUUUUAGCUAGUUUUGUUAAUUAAAUAAAAAAUAUUUUAACUUAAUUCGAUGGGAAAUAUUUCAAAGUUUCUCUUACAGCUAAUUAAGCUAAGUAUUAAUGUGAAUGUGUAAAGUGACUGAUUUUUAAAGCUAUCAGGAAAUUACACUCUGCCAAAUAUUAUACUGCAGCUAGAAUCUAGAUGAUGGCAGGAUAUGAAAACCAAAAAACUGUCUAAAAAUUUUAUUAAAAAUAUGAGUCAGUCUCAAUCGGUUUAUCAAGGCAUACAUUUUGUUGGAGUGCCAGAAAAGACCAUAAUGUGUAUGUGAACAUUUGUCUUUGUGUUAAAUUAAUUAGCUUUAGAAUAAAAAUGUAAAAAUUAUUUGCCCACCUGUGUGUGCCAUAGAACCAAUCAGCAAUUUGUUUGACUUUCA